rnacentral:misc_RNA from 1 species
AAAUUUGGAGAAGAAAAAGGAAGAAAGUUAACUCUUUUGUCAAUAAGAGUUCAUAUUUCUAGCUGAAGAUGAGGAAGCACCUGAAACUUCCAGCCAAACUUUAGUGGCCAUUUCAUCUAAAGCACUGAUGAAAGUUAACAACUGUUAUCCUAACAUUCAGUGGCUUUGCCAGCAGAUGAUGCUAUUCGGCAGGACAGCAAUUUUAUUCAUUACCAUUUCCUGAAGUUUCACAUUCUUAGGCACAAGAAUGUGCUAAAGGGGAAGCUAUUGUCAUGUAUGGAAGGAGGAGGUUUAAGAAUAAGUUAAAAAGGGAGGGAAUAGUUGUUAAUA